rnacentral:lncRNA from 1 species
ACCGGUACACUUUGGGCUUGUAACAUAUCAGAUUUUGAUAUAAAAGUAAAAAAUAAAUAAAAAUAGUGUGAGAUACUAUUUUUAUUGGAUUUAGAGAAGUAAAGUAUAAGUCGGGAACGACUCGUGCUGAAAUCGAAACGAAAAUAGAAGAUUUAGAAUUUUCUGUGAGAAACGGAGCUGAUAUUUUAGCAGAAAAUGCACAGUGUCAGAAAAUUAUGAAAACUGAAGAAUAUGUCAGAAUUAUUUUUAUGAGGCUAGAUUUAAAGUUUCAUAUCAUUCUGACACCCGGAAGGU